rnacentral:rRNA from 1 species
AUUGAACGCUGGCGGCAGGCCUAACACAUGCAAGUCGAGCGGGGUUUUCGGACCUAGCGGCGGACGGGUGAGUAAUGCGUAGGAAGCUGCCCGAUAGAGGGGGAUACCAGUUGGAAACGACUGUUAAUACCGCAUAAUGUCUACGGACCAAAGUGUGGGACCUUCGGGCCACAUGCUAUCGGAUGCGCCUACGUGGGAUUAGCUAGUUGGUGAGGUAAUGGCUCACCAAGGCGACGAGCUAGAGCUGGUUUGAGAGGAUGACCAGCCACGCUGGAAAUGAGAGACGGUCCAGACUCCUACGGGAGGCAGCAGUGGGGAAUAUUGGACAAUGGGCGCAAGCCUGAUCCAGCCAUGCCGCGUGUGUGAAGAAGGCCUUCGGGUUGUAAAGCACUUUCAGCGAGGAGGAAGGGGUGUGUGUUAAUAGUACACACCUUUGACGUUACUCGCAGAAGAAGCACCGGCUAACUCUGUGCCAGCCGCCGCAGUAACAC